GAUGAACGCUGGCGGCGUGCUUAACACAUGCAAGUCGAACGGGAUCCAAGGGGUGCUUGCACUUUUUGGUGAGAGUGGCGAACGGGUGAGUAACACGUGAGUAACCUUUCCUUUUCUUUUGGAUAUGCAUUCGUAAGGGUGUUUCAUACUUUAUGUUCUGUCUGCCUCGCAUGGGGUGGGUGGUAACGGCUUUGGCCGGAUUUGGGUGGGCUCGCGGUCUAUCAGCUUGUUGGUGGGGUGAUGGCUUCCCAAGGCUUUGACGGGUAGCCGGCGUGAGAGGGUGGGAGGGCGCGUUCGGACUGAGAGAGGGUGAGGAAUCGUGCGGAAGGCAGCAGUGGGGGAUAGUGCAGAAUGGGCGAAAGCGUGAUGCAGCGACACGGAGUGAGGGAGGGAGGCGGACGAGUGGUAAACGUCUGUAGCUCUGAACAAGGCAUGACAGUGGGUGUGUUGAGGGUAGGGGUUGAGUAGCGCCGGCUAACUACGUG
rnacentral:rRNA from 1 species